rnacentral:rRNA from 1 species
UACGUAGGGUGCGAGCGUUGUCCGGAAUUAUUGGGCGUAAAGAGCUUGUAGGCGGUUUGUCGCGUCUGCUGUGAAAAUCCGGGGCUCAACCCCGGACUUGCAGUGGGUACGGGCAGACUGGAGUGUGGUAGGGGAGACUGGAAUUCCAGGUGUAGCGGUGAAAUGCGUAGAUAUCUGGAGGAAUACCGGUGGCGAAGGCGGCAUCCUGGACCGACAUUGACGCUGAUGAGCGAAAGCUAAGGGGAGCAAACGGGG